rnacentral:rRNA from 1 species
AUUGAACGCUGGCGGCAGGCCUAACACAUGCAAGUCGAACGGCAGCGGGGGGUAGCUUGCUAUCCUGCCGGCGAGUGGCGGACGGGUGAGUAAUGCAUGGGGAGCUGCCCAGUCGAGGGGGAUAACAACUGGAAACGGUUGCUAAUACCGCAUACGCCCUAAGGGGGAAAGGUGGGGAACUUCGGUCCUACCGCGAUUGGAUGCGCCCAUGUGGGAUUAGCUAGUUGGUGAGGUAACGGCUCACCAAGGCGACGAUCUCUAGCUGGUCUGAGAGGAUGACCAGCCACACUGGAAAUGAGACACGGUCCAGACUCCUACGGGAGGCAGCAGUGGGGAAUAUUGCACAAUGGGGGAAACCCUGAUGCAGCCAUGCCGCGUGUGUGAAGAAGGCCUUCGGGUUGUAAAGCACUUUCAGUCAGGAGGAAGGGGUGAUGGCUAAUAUCCAUCAUCAUUGACGUUACUGACAGAAGAAGCACCGGCUAACUCCGUGCCAGCAGCCGCCGUAA